rnacentral:rRNA from 1 species
CCCUUAGAUGUUCUGGGCCGCACGCGCGCUACACUGAUGCAUUCAACGAGUUUCUUCCUGGUCCGAGAGGAAUGGGUAACCUUUUGAAAGUGCAUCGUGAUAGGGAUAGACUAUUGCAAUUAUUGGUCUUCAACGAGGAAUUCCUAGUAGACUUAGUUCAUCAGACUGCAUCGAUUACGUCCCUGCCCUUUGUACACACCGCCCGUCGCUCCUACCGAUUGAAUGCUCAGGUGAGCCAUUCGGACUUUCAUCAUGCUGGUUUCCAGUUUUGAUGAAGGAAAGUCUUGCGAACCUUAUCAUUUAGAGGAAGGAGAAGUCGUAACA